rnacentral:rRNA from 1 species
AUACGUAGGGGGCGAGCGUUGUCCGGAAUGAUUGGGCGUAAAGGGCGCGUAGGCGGCCCGGUAAGUCUGGAGUGAAAGUCCUGUUUUUAAGAUGGGAAUUGCUUUGGAUACUGUCGGGCUUGAGUGCAGGAGAGGUAAGUGGAAUUCCCAGUGUAGCGGUGAAAUGCGUAGAGAUUGGGAGGAACACCAGUGGCGAAGGCGACUUACUGGACUGUAACUGACGCUGAGGCGCGAAAGUGUGGGGAGCAAACAGGACUAGAUACCCUGGUAGUCCACACUGUAAACGAUGAAUGCUAGGUGUAGGGGGUAUCGACCCCUUCUGUGCCGCAGUCAACACAAUAAGCAUUCCGCCUGGGGAGUACGGCCGCAAGGUUGAAACUUAAAGGAAUUGACGGGG